rnacentral:lncRNA from 1 species
CAGGGGCUGGCUGACUUUGUCCACACACAACUACAGGCCUGGGGGCAGCAUGAGGACAUCCUUUCACAGAGGCAGCAAAUGAAGAAGAGAAAAAGGAAGCCACCUCAGCACGUUCUAUCUUCUGCUUUGAUCAAGACCAUGCAAAGAGGCUGGAUGAGGCCCAUUUGUGUCCAAAACAGUUGUGGUGCUAGUCCACUGGAGCUGUGCAGCCACACAUGCUGCUUCCCAUCAGGCAGGAGAUAUACGGGAAUUGCUAAGUUAGGGCCUGAACCAAUGAUUGAGCACCUGGUGAACAGACACAGCCAGCCCUGGGAGCACAGGUGAAUUGCUUUAGACCAUCAGCCUCAUGAGAAGCCUCAUUUAAGAGCUGGCUACCACAGAGGAAGAAUAUUUACCUGGAGAUCUCUCCUUUUGGAGUAUCAGAGGAGCCCUGAUCCUUGGGAUAGCUGAAAUGAAUGUCUUGCCCUUUCUCAUCUCCUCAUGCCAGACCCUGCUGGCCCUGUUGGCUGUGUGGGAGGCCAGAGGAAGCAUUGCUGCUGACUGGGUCCUGUAGACAUCAAGCAGCUCAUACAGCUGCCAUCAGCACUUAGAAUAAUGUGAACAAGAGGUAAGCUGUAGAGGCAGCAGAUGACAGAAAGUCUCUCAUAGUUCCCUUUGCAUGAGGGCCUACGGGGCUCCUGCAUGCAGUGAGGAAGGCAGAAUAUGGCAAGGCUUGGGUUGACAUCCUUUCUGCUUUGAAGUGUGGUUUUAUUUUCUUCUGUACAGUCUCUGAAAUAACCUGUUUCCUUAUGGAAGAAUUUG